UACGAAGGGGGCGAGCGUUGUUCGGAUUUACUGGGCGUAAAGGGCGCGUAGGCGGCCGGUCAAGUCAGGCGUGAAAGCCCCGGGCUCAACCUGGGAAUUGCGCUUGGGACUGGUUGGCUGGAGUUCGGGAGAGGAGAGCGGAAUUCCCAGUGUAGAGGUGAAAUUCGUAGAUAUUGGGAAGAACACCGGUGGCGAAGGCGGCUCUCUGGGACGGUACUGACGCUGAGACGCGAAAGCGUGGGGAGCGAACAGG
rnacentral:rRNA from 1 species